rnacentral:rRNA from 1 species
UGGGGAAUAUUGCACAAUGGGCGCAAGCCUGAUGCAGCCAUGCCGCGUGUGUGAAGAAGGCCUUCGGGUUGUAAAGCACUUUCAGCGAGGAGGAAGGUGGUGAGCUUAAUACGCUCAUCAAUUGACGUUACUCGCAGAAGAAGCACCGGCUAACUCCGUGCCAGCAGCCGCGGUAAUACGGAGGGUGCAAGCGUUAAUCGGAAUUACUGGGCGUAAAGCGCACGCAGGCGGUUUGUUAAGUCAGAUGUGAAAUCCCCGGGCUCAACCUGGGAACUGCAUUUGAAACUGGCAAGCUAGAGUCUCGUAGAGGGGGGUAGAAAUUCCAGGUGUAGCGGUGAAAUGCGUAGAGAUCUGGAGGAAUACCGGUGGCGAAGGCGGCCCCCCUGGACGAAGACUGACGCUCAGGUGCGAAAAGCGUGGGGCAGCAAACAGGAUUAGAUA